UACGAAGGGGGCUAGCGUUGCUCGGAAUCACUGGGCGUAAAGGGUGCGUAGGCGGGUCUUUAAGUCAGGGGUGAAAUCCUGGAGCUCAACUCCAGAACUGCCUUUGAUACUGAGGAUCUUGAGUUCGGGAGAGGUGAGUGGAACUGCGAGUGUAGAGGUGAAAUUCGUAGAUAUUCGCAAGAACACCAGUGGCGAAGGCGGCUCACUGGCCCGGUACUGACGCUGAGGUGCGAAAGCGUGGGUAGCAAACAGG
rnacentral:rRNA from 1 species